GAAUAUUGGACAAUGGGCGAAAGCCUGAUCCAGCCAUGCCGCGUGUGUGAAGAAGGUCUUCGGAUUGUAAAGCACUUUAUGUUGGGAGGAAGGGCAGUAAAUUAAUACUUUGCUGUUUUGACGUUACAGACAGAAUAAGCACCGGCUAACUCUGUGCCAGCAGCCGCGGUAAUACUGAGGGUGCAAGCGUUUAUCGGAAUUACUGGGCGUAAAGCGCGCGUAGGUGGUUUGUUAAGUUGGAUGUGAAAGCCCCGGGCUCAACCUGGGAACUGCAUCAAAAACUGGCAAGCUAGAGUACGGUAGAGGGUGGUGGAAUUUCCUGUGUAGCGGUGAAAUGCGUAGAUAUAGGAAGGAACACCAGUGGCGAAGGCGACCACCUGGACUGAUACUGACACUGAGGUGCGAAAGCGUGGGGAGCAAACAGG
rnacentral:rRNA from 1 species